rnacentral:rRNA from 1 species
UACAGAGGGGGCAAGCGUUGUUCGGAAUUACUGGGCGUAAAGGGCGCGUAGGCGGUCAGGUCAGUCCCGUGUGAAAUCCCUCGGCUCAACUGAGGAACUGCACGGGAAACUACCUGGCUUGAGUUCGGGAGAGGGAAGCGGAAUUCCGGGUGUAGCGGUGAAAUGCGUAGAUAUCCGGAGGAACACCGGUGGCGAAGGCGGCUUCCUGGACCGACACUGACGCUGAGGCGCGAAAGCUAGGGGAGCAAACGGG